GCUUUUCAGGUCCUUUUCUGGAUUCAUACCAGUUGCCCUCUGCAAGCAUCUUCACCAGGGGUUCAGCCAGCCCAAAAGUCUAGGUGGUUCCUUUGUUUUUAAUCAGAGGAGUGCCUUGACUGGGAAGUCUACCUGCUUUUGUUUGUUUUUUAAUCAGGAAUCUCUUUGAAUCAGCACUUUGUAUUCUUGCCCGUCCCUUUCUUUCUGAUCUCAAAGGCAAACUGAUAGAGGAAAGGUAAAAACAGAGCGUUGUCCCCUGCCGGUGUUCCUGGCGCUAUACUGGACUGUAUGUCUUUGAAAGCUGACAUUCCAGAAGAGACCUACAGAACCGGGGACGGCUGCCUGCAUGAAAAGAGAAGCCCAGAUAGCCCAAGCUGAACCUUUUCUGGGACAGAAAUAAGGGAGUGUGGCAUAGUGUCCCAAGCCUUCUGUCCCAGCACGAAGAGGAUUGCUGUGCCUUUGAACUGGAGGUCUGCCUGAGCUACAGAGAAAAGAAAAGGCACAAAAUUUCUGUUAGCUGAAGGAAUUUUUCACAACGCUGUCAGCUUCCUGGCCACAGUGAAGUAAGUGACCAGCUUUGGCUCUACCAUGUGUUCCUGGCUCUGAAAUAUCUGCUUGCCACAGGGCCAAAACGAUGGACUACCUGACCGUGACAGAUUUAAAUCUCUGA